rnacentral:rRNA from 1 species
UACGUAGGGGCAAGCGUUGUCCGGAAUCAUUGGGCGUAAAGAGCGUGUAGGCGGUCCGGUAAGUCCGCUGUAAAAGUCAAGGGCUCAACCCUUGAAAGCCGGUGGAUACUGCCGGGCUAGAGUCCGGAAGAGGCGAGUGGAACUCCUGGUGUAGCGGUGAAAUGCGCAGAUAUCAAGGAAGAACACCUACGGCGAAGGCAGCUCGCUGGGACGGUACUGACGCUGAGACGCGAAAGCGUGGGAGCAAACAGG